rnacentral:rRNA from 1 species
GAUGAACGCUAGCGGCAGGCUUAACACAUGCAAGUCGAGGGGCAGCAUGGUCUUCGGACCGAUGGCGACCGGCGCACGGGUGAGUAUCGCGUAUGCAAUCUACCUUUCACAGGGGCAUAGCCCGGGGAAACCCGGAUUAAUAUCCCAUAGUACAUUUUAGUGGCAUCACUUUAAUGUUAAAGUUUUUAACGGUGAAAGAUGAGCAUGCGUCUUAUUAGCUUGAUGGUAAGGUAACGGCUUACCAUGGCUAUGAUAGGUAGGGGUCCUGAGAGGGAGAUCCCCCACACUGGUACUGAGACACGGACCAG